GAAAUGCGAUAAGUAAUGUGAAUUGCAGAAUUCAGUGAAUCAUCGAAUCUAUGAACGCACAUUGCGCCCGCCAGUAUUCUGGCGGGCAUGCCUGUUCGAGCGUCAUUACAACCCUCAGGCCCCCGGGCCUGGCGUUGGGGAUCGGCGGAAGCCCCCUGCGGGCACAACGCCGUCCCCCAAAUACAGUGGCGGUCCCGCCGCAGCUUCCAUUGCGUAGUAGCUAACACCUCGCAACUGGAGAGCGGCGCGGCCACGCCGUAAAACACCCAACUUCUGAAUGUUGACCUCGAAUCAGGUAGGAAUACCCGCUUAACUUAAGC
rnacentral:misc_RNA from 1 species